UUGAAUUAUCAUGUAAUUGAGUAUUCUGAGAAAAAUCAAUUUAUGAAAUAAAGUUUAGGGCUAAAAUCCUCUUCGGAUGUCAUUGUUGCCAAACCCUUUAGAUGUUAUUUUACAUCAGUAGGACACUAUUUUUCAAAAAGUAACAAUUGCCCAAAAAUACAGAUCUUAAUUGUAAAUUUUCCAACCCAAUCUUUCACAGUACUAUUCAGCCCCGACCACGGACACUGUUUUUUUAUUAUUUUACCGUACGUCGCUGAGCUUGCUCUACAGAGUGUUUUCAUGGCGACCAUAUUCAGGAACAAAUCUGGAUCGAAAUUAAUACAUAUUUCUUUUUUUUUUUAAAGCGAGUUUGCUCCUUAACAAACCAACAUAAAAACACUCUAACCCUGGCGGUCUUUUCAUUAGAAAUGCCGUAUUUACACUUAAUGUGCUUGUAAAUGUCGUAACAACUUGAAUCUGAAGGCUUUGAUUCAGAUUCAAAUUGCAAAAUGGCAAAGUUUCGUGCGAGUGUAUAUUGCGCAGUUUGGACGCUUCUAAACUGUCUAUCUCCCUAACUAUUUUGCGCACGCGACGAACUAUAUUAUCCGCAUGCAACCGCCCUGAAAAGGAAUAUCCCUGAAGAUAUUGAGCCGCAAUGACCGCCAUAAGAGAGGGGACCUAGUCACUGGUAGCGGACUGGUUUUUUUUUUUCAUGAAGUAAGACCGGCUACCAGGAAAAUACAUGCUUUACCUUACUGCGGGAGAGAAAAUGUUUGAAAAAACUUUGCCACCAUAAUUGCCUUAUUCUCGCCAAUCCAAACGACCAACACGAUUUCCACCAAGUCUUCUUACGGGUACCAUUUGCACCCUCUAAGCUAUGGGUACCAUUUGUACCCCCUAACCCCAAGACAAACGAUGCCAGUUUUUUUAAAAAAGGUUUACAUGAGGAAAG
rnacentral:lncRNA from 1 species